AGCGGCGGACGGGUGAGUAACGCGUGGACAACCUGCCCUAUGCAGGGGGAUAACAUCCGGAAACGGGUGCUAAUACCGCAUAAGCGCACAGUACCGCAUGGUACAGUGUGAAAAGCUGAGGCGGCAUAGGAUGGGUCCGCGUUGGAUUAGGCAGUUGGCGGGGUAACGGCCCACCAAACCGACNAUCCAUAGCCGGCCUGAGAGGUUGAUCGGCCACAUUGGGACUGAGACACGGCCCAAACUCCUACGGGAGGCAGCAGUAGGGAAUCUUCCACAAUGGGCGAAAGCCUGAUGGAGCAACGCCGCGUGGGUGAAGAAGGUCUUCGGAUCGUAAAACCCUGUUGUUAGAGAAGAAAGUGCGUGAGAGUAACUGUUCACGUUUCGACGGUAUCUAACCAGAAAGCCACGGCUAACUACGUGCCAGCAGCCGCGGUAAUACGUAGGUGGCAAGCGUUAUCCGGAUUUAUUGGGCGUAAAGGGAACGCAGGCGGUCUUUUAAGUCUGAUGUGAAAGCCUUCGGCUUAACCGGAGUAGUGCAUUGGAAACUGGGAGACUUGAGUGCAGAAAAGGAGAGUGGAACUCCAUGUGUAGCGGUGAAAUGCGUAGAUUUAUGGAAGAACACCAGUGGCGAAAGCGGCUCUCUGGUCUGUAACUGACGCUNANGUUCGAAAGCGUGGGUAGCAAACAGGAUUAGAUACCCUGGUA
rnacentral:rRNA from 1 species